rnacentral:rRNA from 1 species
CUCUGAACCAGCCAUGCCGCGUGCAGGAUGACGGUCCUAUGGAUUGUAAACUGCUUUUGUACAGGAAGAAAUGUUACUACGUGUAGUAAUUUGACGGUACUGUAAGAAUAAGGAUCGGCUAACUCCGUGCCAGCAGCCGCGGUAAUACGGAGGAUCCGAGCGUUAUCCGGAAUUAUUGGGUUUAAAGGGUUCGUAGGCGGUUGGAUAAGUCAGUGGUGAAAUCUCAUAGCUUAACUAUGAAACUGCCGUUGAUACUGUCUGACUUGAAUAGUAUGGAAGUAACUAGAAUAUGUAGUGUAGCGGUGAAAUGCUUAGAUAUUACAUGGAAUACCAAUUGCGAAGGCAGGUUACUACGUACUUAUUGACGCUGAUGAACGAAAGCGUGGGUAGCGAACAGGAUUAGAUACCCUGGUAGUCCACGCCGUAAACGAUGGAUACUAGCUGUUCGGACUUCGGUUUGAGUGGCUAAGCGAAAGUGAUAAGUAUCCCACCUGGGGAGUACGUUCGCAAGAAUGAAACUCAAAGGAAUUGACGGGGGCCCGCACAAGCGGUGGAGCAUGUGGUUUAAUUCGAUGAUACGCGAGGAACCUUACCAGGGCUUAAAUGUAGAUUGACAGGUUUGGAAACAGACUUUUCUUCGGACAAUUUACAAGGUGCUGCAUGGUUGUCGUCAGCUCGUGCCGUGAGGUGUCAGGUUAAGUCCUAUAACGAGCGCAACCCCUAUUGUUAGUUACCAGCGCGUUAAGGCGGGGACUCUAGCAAGACUGCCGGUGCAAACCGUGAGGAAGGUG